AUCUUUUAAGAUGUAGUUUUCAAUUAUUUUGAAUAUAUACCCAGAAGGGGAAUUGCUGGGUAAUAUGGUAGUUUUAUUUUUAACUGUUGGAAACCUCUGUACUGUUUUUCACAAUGGCUGCACCAUUUUACAUUUCCACCAAUAGGUAUAAAGGUUCCAAUUUCACCACAUCCUCAUCAACACUUUUUUUUAAAAUGGUA